rnacentral:pre_miRNA from 1 species
CGGUCGAGAUUUGUGCAGUGUUGGUAGAUCAAACGAAUAUUGCACUUGUCCCGACGCGGC